rnacentral:rRNA from 2 species
CAGUCGAGCGGAUCUUCAUUAGCUUGCUUUUGAAGAUCAGCGGCGGACGGGUGAGUAACACGUGGGCAACCUGCCUGUAAGACUGGGAUAACUUCGGGAAACCGGAGCUAAUACCGGAUAAUCCUUUUCCUCUCAUGAGGAAAAGCUGAAAGACGGUUUCGGCUGUCACUUACAGAUGGGCCCGCGGCGCAUUAGCUAGUUGGUGAGGUAACGGCUCACCAAGGCGACGAUGCGUAGCCGACCUGAGAGGGUGAUCGGCCACACUGGGACUGAGACACGGCCCAGACUCCUACGGGAGGCAGCAGUAGGGAAUCUUCCGCAAUGGACGAAAGUCUGACGGAGCAACGCCGCGUGAGCGAUGAAGGCCUUCGGGUCGUAAAGCUCUGUUGUCAGGGAAGAACAAGUACCGGAGUAACUGCCGGUACCUUGACGGUACCUGACCAGAAAGCCACGGCUAACUACGUGCCAGCAGCCGCGGUAAUACGUAGGUGGCAAGCGUUGUCCGGAAUUAUUGGGCGUAAAGCGCGCGCAGGCGGUUCCUUAAGUCUGAUGUGAAAGCCCCCGGCUCAACCGGGGAGGGUCAUUGGAAACUGGGGAACUUGAGUGCAGAAGAGGAGAGCGGAAUUCCACGUGUAGCGGUGAAAUGCGUAGAGAUGUGGAGGAACACCAGUGGCGAAGGCGGCUCUCUGGUCUGUAACUGACGCUGAGGCGCGAAAGCGUGGGGAG